CGGCAGCGGGAAGUAGCUUGCUACUUUUGCCGGCGAGCGGCGGACGGGUGAGUAAUGCCUGGGGAUCUGCCCAGUCGAGGGGGAUAACUACUGGAAACGGUAGCUAAUACCGCAUACGCCCUACGGGGGAAAGCAGGGGACCUUCGGGCCUUGCGCGAUUGGAUGAACCCAGGUGGGAUUAGCUAGUUGGUGAGGUAAUGGCUCACCAAGGCGACGAUCCCUAGCUGGUCUGAGAGGAUGAUCAGCCACACUGGAACUGAGACACGGUCCAGACUCCUACGGGAGGCAGCAUUGGGGAAUAUUGCACAAUGGGGGAAACCCUGAUGCAGCCAUGCCGCGUGUGUGAAGAAGGCCUUCGGGUUGUAAAGCACUUUCAGCGAGGAGGAUAGGUUGGUAGCUAAUAACUGCCAGCUGUGACGUUACUCGCAUAUUAUUUCUCCGGCUAACUCCGUGCCAGCAGCCGCGGUAAUACGGGGGGUGCAAGCGUUAAUCCGCAAUUACUGGGCGUAAAGCCCACGCAGGCUGUUGGAUUAUUUUAUAUGUUGAAAGCCCUCGGUCUCAACCCUGAGAAUUGCAUUUAAAACUGGUCCAGCUAAAGUCUUGUAGAGGGGGGGUAGAAUUCCAGGUGGAGCGGUGAAAUGCCCAAAGAUCCUGACGGA
rnacentral:rRNA from 1 species